AAUGCCCGGCGUUUUCAGAGUCCCGCAUGAGGCUUUGAACAAAGAUUUAUCGGUAUGAGAUGGCGAUGCGUCCCAUUAGCUUGUUGGCGGGGUAACGGCCCACCAAGGCAUCGAUGGGUAGGGGUUCUGAGAGGAAGGUCCCCCACAUUGGAACUGAGACACGGUCCAAACUCCUACGGGAGGCAGCAGUGAGGAAUAUUGGUCAAUGGGCGGAAGCCUGAACCAGCCAAGUAGCGUGCAGGAAGACGGCCCUCCGGGUUGUAAACUGCUUUUAGUUGGGAAUAAAACGGGGCUCGUGAGCCCCCUUGCAUGUACCAUCAGAAAAAGGACCGGCUAAUUCCGUGCCAGCAGCCGCGGUAAUACGGAAGGUCCGAGCGUUAUCCGGAUUUAUCGGGUUUAAAGGGAGCGCAGGCGGACCUUUAAGUCAGCUGUGAAAUACGGCGGCUCAACCGUCGAACUGCAGUUGAUACUGGAGGUCUUGAGUGCACACAGGGAUGCUGGAAUUCAUGGUGUAGCGGUGAAAUGCUCAGAUAUCAUGAGGAACUCCGAUCGCGAAGGCAGGCAUCCGGGGUGCAACUGACGCUGAGGCUCGAAAGUGCGGGUAUCAAACAGGAUUAGAUACCCUGGUAGUCCGCACAGUAAAUGAUGAAUACUCGCGGUUUGCGAUACAUUGUAAGCCGCCAAGCGAAAGCGUUAAGUAUUCCACCUGGGGAGUACGCCGGCAACGGUGCAACUCAAAUGAAUUGACGG
rnacentral:rRNA from 1 species